GAUGAACGCUAGCGACAGGCUUAACACAUGCAAGUCGAGGGGCAUCAUGAGGUAGCAAUACCUUGAUGGCGACCGGAGCACGGGUGAGUAACGCGUAUGCAACCUGCCCGAUACCGGGGUAUAGCCCAUGGAAACGUGGAUUAACACCCCAUAGUACUUUUAUCCUGCCUGGGAUGGGAGUUAAAUGUUCAAGGUAUCGGAUGGGCAUGCGUCCUAUUAGUUAGUUGGCGGGGUAACAGCCCACCAAGACGAUGAUAGGUAGGGGUUCUGAGAGGAAGGUCACCCACAGUGGAACUGCGACACGGUCCAAACUCCUACGGGAGGCAGCAGUGAGGAAUAUUGGUCAAUGGACGUAAGUCUGAGCCAGCCAAGUCGCGUGAGGGAAGACUGCCCUAUGGGUUGCAAACCUCUUUUAUAAGGGAAGAAUAAGUUCUACGUGUAGAAUGAUGCCUGUACCUUAUGAAUAAGCAUCGGCUAACUCCGUGCCAGCCGCCGCAGUAA
rnacentral:rRNA from 1 species